AGAGUUUGAUCAUGGCUCAGAUUGAACGCUGGCGGCAGGCCUAACACAUGCAAGUCGAACAGUAACAUUUCUAGCUUGCUAGAAGAUGACGAGUGGCGGACGGGUGAGUAAUGCUUGGGAACUUGCCUUUGCGAGGGGGAUAACAGUUGGAAACGACUGCUAAUACCGCAUAAUGUCUACGGACCAAACGGGGCUUUUAGCUCCGGCGCAAAGAGAGGCCCAAGUGAGAUUAGCUAGUUGGUAAGGUAAUGGCUUACCAAGGCAACGAUCUCUAGCUGUUCUGAGAGGAAGAUCAGCCACACUGGAACUGAGACACGGUCCAGACUCCUACGGGAGGCAGCAGUGGGGAAUAUUGCACAAUGGGGGAAACCCUGAUGCAGCCAUGCCGCGUGUGUGAAGAAGGCCUUCGGGUUGUAAAGCACUUUCAGUUGUGAGGAAAAGUUAGUAGUUAAUACCUGCUAGCCGUGACGUUAACAACAGAAGAAGCACCGGCUAACUCCGUGCCAGCAGCCGCGGUAAUACGGAGGGUGCGAGCGUUAAUCGGAAUUACUGGGCGUAAAGCGCACGCAGGCGGUUUGUUAAGCUAGAUGUGAAAGCCCCGGGCUCAACCUGGGAUAGUCAUUUAGAACUGGCAGACUAGAGUCUUGGAGAGGGGAGUGGAAUUCCAGGUGUAGCGGUGAAAUGCGUAGAUAUCUGGAGGAACAUCAGUGGCGAAGGCGACUCCCUGGCCAAAGACUGACGCUCAUGUGCGAAAGUGUGGGUAGCGAACAGGAUUAGAUACCCUGGUAGUCCACACCGUANACGCUGUCUACUAGCUGUUUGUGACUUUAAGUCGUGAGUAGCGAA
rnacentral:rRNA from 1 species